GACGAACGCUGGCGGCGUGCCUAAUACAUGCAAGUAGAACGCAGUUGCGAACGGGUGAGUAACGCGUAGGUAACUGCCCUAUAGCGGGGGAUAACUAUUGGAAACGAUAGCUAAUACCCCAUACUGUGAGAUGGACCUGCGUUGUAUUAGGUAGUUGGUGAGGUAAAGGCUCACCAAGGCGACGAUACAUAGCCGAGGUGAGAGGGUGAUCGGGCACACUUGGACUGAGACACCGCCCCGGCUGCUACGGGAUGGAGCAGUAGGGAAUCUUCGGCAAUUGGGGGAAGUCUGACCGAGCAACUCCGCGUGAGUGAAGAAGGGUUUCGGAUCGUAAAGGUCUGUUGUUAGAGAAGCGGUAACUGACCAAAAAGGGCCGGCUAACUACGUGCCAGCAGCCGCGGUAAUAC
rnacentral:rRNA from 1 species